UAACCACACGAAACCGCCAGGGAAAUACGAGCCCAAGCUUAAAACCCAAAGGACUUGACGGUGUUCCACCCUUCUAGAGGAGCCUGUUCUAUAAUCGAUAAUCCCCGAUAAACCUCACCACCUCUCGAAUAAUCAGCCUGUAUACCUCCGUCGAAAGCCUACCAUGUGAACGUAACAAGUGGGCCCAAAGGUUUUAAACCAAAACGUCAGGUCAAGGUGCAGCCAAAGAGCUGGGAAGAAAUGGGCUACAAUCUCUAAAUUAGAGCACACGGAAAACUGCAUGCAAUACAGUAACUGAAGGUGGAUUUAGCAGUAAAAAGAAAAUAGAGAGUUCUUUUUAAUUAGGCACUGGAACGCGUACACACCGCCCGUCACCCUCUUCAAAUUUAAUUAAUAAUGUUAUUUAACUACACUUUAUUCAACAGAAGAGGCAAGUCGUAACAUGGUAAGCGUACUGGAAAGUGUGCUUGGUAUAACAAAAUGUAGCUUAAUAAAGCAUCUUGCUUACACCAAGAAUAUGUCUGUGCAACCCUAACCAUUUUGAGCUAAAACCUAAGCCCCCCCAAAAUUCAAAUGAAAUAACUUUAAAAAUAAAAUUAAAUAAAACAUUCUAUUAACUUAGUAAAGGUGAUUAAAAAGUAUCAAGGAGCUAUAACAUAAGUACCGCAAGGGAAAACUGAAAUAAAAAUGAAAUAAAUUAAGCCAAAUAAA
rnacentral:rRNA from 1 species